AACGAACGCUGGCGGCAGGCCUAAAACAUGCAAGUCGAACGCCCCGCAAGGGGAGUGGCGCACGGGUGAGUAACGCGUGGGAACGUGCCCUUCACUACGGGACAACGUCGGGAAACUGACGCUAAUACCGUAUAAUGACUCCGGUCCAAAGAUUUAUCGGUGAAGGAGCGGCCCGCGUCUGAUUAGUUUGUUGGUGGGGUAAUGGCCUACCAAGACUACGAUCAGUAGCAGGUCUGAGAGGAUGAUCUGCCACACUGGGACUGAGACACGGCCAGGACUCUUACGGGGGGCAGCAGUUGGGAAUAUGGAACAAGGGGCGAAAGCCUGAUCCAGCCAUGCGGGGUGUGGGAUGAAGGCCUUAGGGUUGUAAAGCACUUUCGUUGGGAAUGAUAAUGCCCGUACCCAAAGAAGAAGCACCGGCUAACUUCGUGCCAGCAGCCGCGGUAA
rnacentral:rRNA from 1 species